CUUGACUGUCGAAGACCAUUU
ensembl:piRNA 21ur-4621 ncRNA